rnacentral:misc_RNA from 1 species
GAUGAAGAACGUAGCGAAAUGCGAUAAGUAAUGUGAAUUGCAGAAUUCAGUGAAUCAUCGAAUCUUUGAACGCACAUUGCGCCCGCCAGUAUUCUGGCGGGCAUGCCUGUUCGAGCGUCAUUUCAACCAUCAAGCCCCAGGCUUGUGUUGGGGACCUGCGGCUGCCGCAGGCCCUGAAAACCAGUGGCGGGCUCGCUAGUCACACCGAGCGUAGUAGCAUACACAUCGCUCAGGGCGUGCUGCGGGUUCCGGCCGUUAAACCCCUGUUUUACCCAAGGUUGACCUCGGAUCAGGUAGGAAGACCCGCUGAACUUAAGCAUAUCAAUAAGCGGAGGA